AAAAUGCAAUGAUUCACCCAACACCAGUGAAGAAACCUCCUCCAAAAUUCCCGACUGGAUAUGUAGGCCGAAGAAGGCAAUAAAACAAUAAAUGGCGCUUCAUCCAAGACUUCUGUGCAAUAUCGUCUGCUGCCUCGAGAUGGGAAGCAACUUCUGCGAAUCCAACUACAAUAUAAAUAUUGUGAUAUGAUAUUUCCAAUAUAUGUGUAAUAAAUUGUAAUAAAUUUAUUAAUAUAAUUAAAAUAAUAUAAAAAACAACAAA